GAAAAGCUCGAGCGGUAGCACAGAGAGCUUGCUCUCGGGUGACGAGCGGCGGACGGGUGAGUAAUGUCUGGGAAACUGCCUGAUGGAGGGGGAUAACUACUGGAAACGGUAGCUAAUACCGCAUAACGUCGCAAGACCAAAGUGGGGGACCUUCGGGCCUCAUGCCAUCAGAUGUGCCCAGAUGGGAUUAGCUAGUAGGUGGGGUAACGGCUCACCUAGGCGACGAUCCCUAGCUGGUCUGAGAGGAUGACCAGCCACACUGGAACUGAGACACGGUCCAGACUCCUACGGGAGGCAGCAGUGGGGAAUAUUGCACAAUGGGCGCAAGCCUGAUGCAGCCAUGCCGCGUGUGUGAAGAAGGCCUUCGGGUUGUAAAGCACUUUCAGCGGGGAGGAAGGCGUUGAGGUUAAUAACCUUGUCGAUUGACGUUACCCGCAGAAGAAGCACCGGCUAACUCCGUGCCAGCAGCCGCGGUAAUACGGAGGGUGCAAGCGUUAAUCGGAAUUACUGGGCGUAAAGCGCACGCAGGCGGUCUGUCAAGUCGGAUGUGAAAUCCCCGGGCUCAACCUGGGAACUGCAUUCGAAACUGGCAGGCUAGAGUCUUGUAGAGGGGGGUAGAAUUCCAGGUGUAGCGGUGAAAUGCGUAGAGAUCUGGAGGAAUACCGGUGGCGAAGGCGGCCCCCUGGACAAAGACUGACGCUCAGGUGCGAAAGCGUGGGGAGCAAACAGGAUUAGAUACCCUGGUAGUCCACGCCGUAAACGAUGUCGAUUUGGAGGUUGUGCCCUUGAGGCGUGGCUUCCGGAGCUAACGCGUUAAAUCGACCGCCUGGGGAGUACGGCCGCAAGGUUAAAACUCAAAUGAAUUGACGGGGGCCCGCACAAGCGGUGGAGCAUGUGGUUUAAUUCGAUGCAACGCGAAGAACCUUACCUGGUCUUGACAUCCACAGAACUUUCCAGAGAUGGAUUGGUGCCUUCGGGAACUGUGAGACAGGUGCUGCAUGGCUGUCGUCAGCUCGUGUUGUGAAAUGUUGGGUUAAGUCCCGCAACGAGCGCAACCCUUAUCCUUUGUUGCCAGCGGUCCGGCCGGGAACUCAAAGGAGACUGCCAGUGAUAAACUGGAGGAAGGUGGGGAUGACGUCAAGUCAUCAUGGCCCUUACGACCAGGGCUACACACGUGCUACAAUGGCAUAUACAAAGAGAAGCGACCUCGCGAGAGCAAGCGGACCUCAUAAAGUAUGUCGUAGUCCGGAUUGGAGUCUGCAACUCGACUCCAUGAAGUCGGAAUCGCUAGUAAUCGUAGAUCAGAAUGCUACGGUGAAUACGUUCCCGGGCCUUGUACACACCGCCCGUCACACCAUGGGAGUGGGUUGCAAAAGAAGUAGGUAGCUUAACCUUCGGGAGGGCGUCGUU
rnacentral:rRNA from 1 species